UAUCAGACGUCAUACAACACUCGAUCUCCAUGAAUUUUUUUUUUUAUAAAAACGGUGAAAAGCUCAUACACGAACUAGAAGUAUUUUGGACUUUAACGCUAUAAUGUUUCAAAAAAGUGUCUUGUUCUUCGCUCUAAUUCAUUUACUUUCUGGCAUUGAUUCACAUAAAACGAAACCGGCGGAGUCAUGUCCAUAUUUUCCAUCAAAACCUCCGUCGUACAAAGCAUACAGUCCCAUAAACAUUAUAACCAAAGAUGUGAUCCCAGCUAACGUAUCAACUCCAGUUAAUUUAAGAAAUGGGGUAUUUGGUCCCCUAUUUGUCAUAAAUACUGGAUAUGCGUUUGAGGCCUAUGGUAACCCUGUAGCAAUUAGUGGAGGAAUAAUUUACGGAGGAGUACUCUGUGGAGAAUUUUACCGGUUUCAUAAGCUACGAGCUUAUAUCUCUCAAGAUCCGAAUGGAAGAAGCUAUAAUCUAGUAGACGGAAAAGGGGCCCAGUGUACAACAUACUUUUUAUUCUUCCUCAAAUCGCUCUGCUGCUGUUUAGAAUUCCUGGAUUUGGAAUAUACUUUCCACCCGAGAUUCUACUCUACGCUUGGUUCAAUAUCAUUUUUAUAAUCACAGAAUACUACGCUUUCUAUGGCUCUUAUUUAGAGCUCGAGACUGGUAUCGAAUAUCCAAAUGUUAUUCAAAUUCAAACCGUCGGUAUUUAUCCUCUUUUGACCAAAUCUCAAUUGAAAGCUUUCCAAACAUUGAUCAGCAUAAAUGGCACUUUGUUAGAAACUGUAGCACCUCUUCACACCCAAAACCAGCCUGUUUAUUUGGGAAAAGGAUACACAGAAACUUACUCUUUAUUCUAAACAUUCGAUAGGUAUUUUCUGAAUUAAAUUUAUCUGCGUUAUAAAAUUUCAAUAAAGUUAUACUUUGUGCUAUC